rnacentral:rRNA from 1 species
CGAACGGUAACGCGGGGCAACCUGGCGACGAGUGGCGAACGGGUGAGUAAUACAUCGGAACGUGCCCAGUAGUGGGGGAUAGCCCGGCGAAAGCCGGAUUAAUACCGCAUACGACCUACGGGUGAAAGCAGGGGACCGCAAGGCCUUGCGCUAUUGGAGCGGCCGAUGUCAGAUUAGGUUGUUGGUGGGGUAAAAGCCCACCAAGCCGACGAUCUGUAGCUGGUCUGAGAGGACGACCAGCCACACUGGGACUGAGACACGGCCCAGACUCCUACGGGAGGCAGCAGUGGGGAAUUUUGGACAAUGGGCGCAAGCCUGAUCCAGCCAUGCCGCGUGCGGGAAGAAGGCCUUCGGGUUGUAAACCGCUUUUGUCAGGGAAGAAACGCUCUGGGCUAAUACCCUGGGGUAAUGACGGUACCUGAAGAAUAAGCACCGGCUAACUACGUGCCAGCAGCCGCGGUAAUACGUAGGGUGCAAGCGUUAAUCGGAAUUACUGGGCGUAAAGCGUGCGCAGGCGGUCUUGCAAGACAGGUGUGAAAUCCCCGGGCUUAACCUGGGAACUGCAUUUGUGACUGCAAGGCUAGAGUACGGUAGAGGGGGAUGGAAUUCCGCGUGUAGCAGUGAAAUGCGUAGAUAUGCGGAGGAACACCGAUGGCGAAGGCAAUCCCCUGGACCUGUACUGACGCUCAUGCACGAAAGC